rnacentral:rRNA from 1 species
AACGAACGCUGGCGGCAUGCCUAACACAUGCAAGUCGAACGAGACCUUCGGGUAUAGUGGCGCACGGGUGCGUAACGCGUGGGAACCUGCCCUUAGGUUCGGAAUAACUCCUCGAAAGGGGUGCUAAUACCGGAUAAUGUCUUCGGACCAAAGAUUUAUCGCCUUUGGAUGGGCCCGCGUUGGAUUAGCUAGUUGGUAGGGUAAAAGCCUACCAAGGCGACGAUCCAUAGCUGGUCUGAGAGGAUGAUCAGCCACACUGGGACUGAGACACGGCCCAGACUCCUACGGGAGGCAGCAGUGGGGAAUAUUGGACAAUGGGCGAGAGCCUAAUCCAGCAAUGCCGCGUGAGUGAUCAAGGCCUUAGGGUUGUAAAGCUCUUUUACCCGGGAUGAUAAUGACAGUACCGGAAGAAUAAGCUCCGGCUAACUCCGUG